rnacentral:rRNA from 1 species
AUCCGUCGGAAUAAUGCUGGGGUACGAUGCGGAGCGAAAUUAAGUAGCGAAGUAGCUGAUUUCACACUGUCGAGAAAAGUCUCUAUCGAGGUUAAAGGUGCCUGUACCGCAAACCGACACAGGUGGGUGAGGAGAGUAUCCUAAGGCCAGCGAGAGAACUGUUGUUAAGGAACUCGGCAAAAUGACCCCGUAACUUAGGGAGAAGGGGUGCCUUCGAAAGAAGGCCGCAGAGAAUAGGCCCAAGCGACUGUUUACCAAAAACAUAGGUUUCUGCUAAGUCGCAAGACGAUGUAUGGGAGCUGACGCCUGCCCGGUGCUGGAAGGUUAAGGGGAUCUGUUAGAGCAAUCGAAGCAGUGAACUUAAGCCCCAGUAAACGGCGGCCGUAACUAUAACGGUCCUAAGGUAGCGAAAUUCCUUGUCGGGUAAGUUCCGACCCGCACGAAAGGCGUAACGAUUUGGGCACUGUCUCAACAACAGACUCGGUGAAAUUGUAAUACCGGUGAAGAUGCCGGUUACCUGCGACAGGACGGAAAGACCCCAUGGAGCUUUACUGUAGCUUGACAUUGAGUCUCGGUGCUACAUGUACAGGAUAGGUGGGAGACUAUGAAGCAUGGACGUCAGUCUGUGUGGAGUCAUCCUUGGGAUACCACCCUUGUAGUACUGGGAUUCUAACCAGAGACCAUGAAUCUGGUCUUGGGACACUGUCAGGUGGACAGUUUGACUGGGGCGGUCGCCUCCCAAAAAGUAACGGAGGCGCUCAAAGGUUCUCUCAGUACGGUCGGAAAUCGUACGAAGAGUGUAAAGGCAAAAGAGAGCUUGAUUGCAAGACAUACAGGUCGAGCAAGGACGAAAGUCGGACUUAGUGAUCCGGUGGUUCCGCAUGGAAGGGCCAUCGCUCAACGGAUAAAAGCUACCCUGGGGAUAACAGGCUGAUCUCCCCCAAGAGUCCACAUCGACGGGGAGGUUUGGCACCUCGAUGUCGGCUCAUCACAUCCUGGGGCUGUAGUAGGUCCCAAGGGUUGGGCUGUUCGCCCAUUAAAGUGGUACGCGAGCUGGGUUCAGAACGUCGUGAGACAGUUCGGUCCCUAUCCGUCGCAGGCGCAGGAAAUUUGAGGAGACCUGUCCUUAGUACGAGAGGACCGGGAUGGACGUACCGCUGGUGUACCAGUUGUUCUGCCAAGGGCAUGGCUGGGUAGCUAAGUACGGAAAGGAUAAGCGCUGAAAGCAUCUAAGCGCGAAGCCCACUUCAAGAUAAGAUUUCCCACCGCAAGGUUAAGAUCCCAGGAAGACUACCUGGUUGAUAGGUCAGAGGUGUAAGUGUAGUAAUAUAUUUAGCUUACUGAUACUAAUAGAUCGAGGACUUGACC